rnacentral:lncRNA from 10 species
UGCUGUUUGUUAAACUCCAGCGUGUCUGUUGGCUCCCUGCGGCGCUGGGGAGGCACGUUUGGGGGUGGGUAUAUUUCCUUUUUUUUUUUUUUUUUUUUAAACCCCUGUUUUUCUGUUUAAACGGCCAGCUCCCUGCAAGGAAAAAAAUCUUCUGUGGAGAUCAGAGCGCUGGCCUCGGACCGUUGGAUUGGGCGAGCAUCUUGGCUCCGUUCCUGUGAGGGAAGGGAGAGAAGAGGACAGAGGCAAGCUGCCAAUUGUCAGUGUCCUUCAGUUCGGAGCCACCUCUGCUCCAAGUCUUAAGAGGCUCCCCCGAGGCCAUCACCUGGAGGUGAGCAGCCACCCCAGGCUGGAGCAGGAUCUGCUCCAGAGUCCCAAAAGAUUCAUCUUCUAUGUGACUCAUUGUCCUGUGGAGCCAACCCAUUUUACUGAUGAAGGACAUAAUUGUUAACGGACUUUUACUGAAGUGAGCAUUACCUUUUUUCUUAUGCUCCAUGGACAUCUCAUCAAGGACCCUUGAAGUGAGGUUACCAUUCUUAGCUCCCACAGCGAAGAGAUCUCAGGAGACUGGACACUGAAGAAUCUCAUCUUGUAUAAAGACAGACCAAG